rnacentral:rRNA from 1 species
CCUACGGGGGGCUGCAGUGAGGAAUAUUGGUCAAUGGGCGCGAGCCUGAACCAGCCAAGUAGCGUGAAGGCUGACUGACCUACGGGUUGUAAACUUCUUUUAUAAAGGAAUAAAGUGAGGCACGUGUGCCUUUUUGUAUGUACUUUAUGAAUAAGGAUCGGCUAACUCCGUGCCAGCAGCCGCGGUAAUACGGAGGAUCCGAGCGUAAUCCGGAUUUAUUGUGUUUAAAGGGAGCGUAGAUGGUUUGUUAAGUCAGUUGUGAAAUUUUGCGGCUCAACCGUAAAAUUGCAAUUGAUACUGGCAGCCUUGAGUACAUUUGAGGUAGGCGGAAUUCGUGGUGUAGCGGUGAAAUGCUUAGAUAUCACGAAGAACUCCGAUUGCGAAGGCAGCUUACUAAACUGCCACUGACAUUGAUGCUCGAAAGUGUGGGUAUCAAACAGGAUUAGAUACUCGGGUAGUC